GACGAAGGGGGCUAGCGUUGUUCGGAAUUACUGGGCGUAAAGCGCGUGUAGGCGGUUGUUCAAGUCGGGUGUGAAAGCCUUGAGCUCAACUCAAGAAAUGCACUCGAUACUGGAUGACUUGAGGACCGGAGAGGAUAGUGGAAUUCCCAGUGUAGUGGUGAAAUGCGUAGAGAUCCGGAGGAACACCGAAGGCGAAGGCAGUGUCCUGGCGAGUGACUGACGCGUGAGGUGCGAAAGCCCAGGGGGGCGAACGGG
rnacentral:rRNA from 1 species